UUAAUGGAGAGUUUGAUCCUGGCUCAGGAUGAAUGCUGGCGGCAUGCCUAAUACAUGCAAGUCGAGCGGUAGCAUGGCUUCACCGUUCUCUUGACACACUUGGCUUUAUGCGAGUGGUAAGAUUCGAGGGAACUGUGAAGCUGAUGACGAGCGGCGGACGGCUGAGUAACGCGUGAGAACAUACCCCAAAGUGAGGGAUAACUAGUCGAAAGAUUAGCUAAUACCGCAUGUGAUCUUUGGAUUAAAGCAUUUAUGCGCUUUGGGAAUGGCUUGCGUACGAUUAGAUAGUUGGUGAGGUAAAGGCUCACCAAGUCGACGAUCGUUAGAUGGUUUGAGAGGAUGAUCAUCCAGACUGGGACUGAGACACGGCCCAGACUCCUACGGGAGGCAGCAGUAGGGAAUCUUUCACAAUGGGCGAAAGCCUGAUGGAGCAAUGCCGCGUGCAGGACGAAGGCCUUCGGGUUGUAAACUGCUUUUAUAAGCGAGAAAUAUGAUGGUAACUUAUGAAUAAGGAUCGGCUAACUACGUGCCAGCAGCCGCGGUCAUACGUAGGAUCCGAGCAUUAUCCGGAGUGACUGGGUGUAAAGAGUUGCGUAGGUGGCAAGGUAAGUAGAUAGUGAAAUCUGGUGGCUCAACCAUUCAGACUAUUAUCUAAACUAUCUAGCUCGAGACUGUUAUGGGUAACUGGAAUUUCUAGUGUAGGAGUGAAAUCCGUAGAUAUUAGAAGGAACACCGAUAGCGUAGGCAGGUUACUGGGACAGUUCUGACACUAAGGCACGAAAGCGUAGGGAGCAAACGGGAUUAGAUACCCCGGUAGUCUACGCCGUAAACGAUGGAUACUAGCAGUUUUGGGUAUCGACCCCCGGAGUUGCGAAGCUAACGCGUUAAGUAUCCCACCUGUGUAGUACGAUCGCAAGAUUAAAACAUAAAGGAAUUGACGGGGACCCGCACAAGCGGUGGAGCGUGAUCUUUAAUUCGAUGGUAAACGAUAAACCUUACCAAGGCUUGACAUCCGAUGUAGGCUCUCGAAAGAGAACUGUGCCUUCGGGAACAUCGAGACAGGUGAUGCAUGGCCGUCGUCAGCUCGUGUCGUGAGAUGUUUGGUUAAGUCCAUCAACGAGCGCAACCCUUGCAACCAGUUGUAUUUUUCUGGUAGGACUGCCCCGGUAACGGGGAGGAAGGAGGGGAUGAUGUCAGGUCAGUAUUUCCCUUACGCCUUGGGCUAGAAUCGCGCUACAAUGGCUGGUACAAUGCGAAGCGAAGCAGUGAUGUGAAGCAAAUCGCACCAAAGCCAGUCCCAGUUCGGAUAGAAGGCUGAAACUCGCCUUCUUGAAGUCGGAAUCGCUAGUAAUCGCAGAUCAGCAUGUUGCGGUGAAUACGUUCCCGGGUCUUGUACACACCGCCCGUCAAACCAUGAGAGUCACCAACACCCGAAGUCCGCCUCGGCGGCCUAAGGUGGGGGAGAUGAUUGGGGUUAAGUCGUAACAAGGCAUCGGUACGAGAACGUGUCGAUGGAUUACCUCCUUUCUA
rnacentral:rRNA from 1 species